rnacentral:lncRNA from 1 species
UCACAAGUCAGGUGCCUGUAAUUCAGUGAUUGUCUUUUUUUAUUAUGUGUUACAUAUUUGUUUUAAAUAAACAAGGCCGUUAUAUCCACCUAUGAUUUGUAGUUGCAUAGUGCAAAUCAUUGUUCUGGCCUUUCAUUGAUACUUUGUAGCAAUGUUUAGAGUUUUUCUGGAAAUAUGUUGAUUAAAGGGAAACUUUCAGCAGAGACCACUCCUUCUGUUUGUCAUUUUUUUUUAUUACUGUUUUAAUUUUAUUGAUUUUUUCAUAAUUUUGUAAAAUUU